AGUUAUAAAUUUAGCCUACUUCUACAACAAACAAAAUAAAAACAAACCAAACCAUUUACUUAUGAUAGUACGGGUGACAGAAAACCUAUUUGCGCAAUAAAUUAGUACUGUAAAGGAGAAAUGAAAUAGAAAUUAAAAAAUUAUAAAAACAUAACAAAGCAAAGAAUAAUGCUCCUACCUUUUGCAUCAUGGUCUAGCAAGUCCAACCUUACAAAAAGAACUUAGCAGCCCCCCCCGAAACCAAGCGAGCUACCUCAAGGCAACCCCCCCCCCCGUCUCUGUAGCAAAAGAGUAGGGAGACCUCGGGGUAGAGGCGAAAAACCAAACGAGCUUGGAUAUAGCUGGUUGCUUGAAAAAGAAUUUAAGUUCACACAAAAGCAUUUUUACCCUAUAGGAAAAUAUAGCCUUUUAUACUAAUUAGUUGAGUUACAGCCCAAUUAACUGGGGAAACAACCCAUACAAUGAAUAAUGUUUUUUAAGAAAUUGAACUAAGUAGGCCUAAAAGCAGCCACCAAACAACAGCGUCAAAGCUUAACUCAAAACGAUCAACUAUCCCAUUAAAUUAUCAUAAUUCAACAAGAUAAUCAAGCCAAUCUAUUUUUAGAUGAACUACUACUAGAAUUAGUAAUAAGAAUUUAUUCUCUAUGAUACAAGUGUAUAUCAGGCCGAACUAAUCACUGAUAAUUAAUGAAACUAUUUACUAAAACAAGCAUUUAAUAAUUUCAAGCAUUAACCCAACACAGGAGUAUUUAAGAAAGAUUUUAAGCCUAGGAAGGAACUCGGCAAACUUAGGCUCCGCCUGUUUACCAAAAACAUCGCCUUUUGUAAUACACAUAUAAAAGGUCCUGCCUGCCCAAUGACUUGUUUUAAUGGCCGCGGUAUUAUGACCGUGCAAAGGUAGCGUAAUCAUUUGUCUUUUAAAUAAAGACCAGUAUGAAUGGCAAAACGAGAGCUUCACUGUCUCCCUAGCCUAAUCAAUGAAAUUGAUCUCCCCGUGCAGAAGCGGAGAUAAAAAUAUAAGACGAGAAGACCCUGUGGAGCUUUAAACUUAACUAACAAACCACAAAUACAUUUAGUGCCAAGUUUUAGGUUGGGGCGACCAUGAGGUAUAACACAACCCUCACGAUAAUAACCGAGAAAGACACUUCAAACAACUAACAUAGUAUGUUGACCCAAUAGUUGAUCAACGAACCAAGUUACCCCAGGGAUAACAGCGCAAUCUACUCAAAGAGUUCAUAUCGACGAGCAGGUUUACGACCUCGAUGUUGGAUCAGGACCCCCAAAUAGCGCAACAGCCAUUAAAGGUUCGUUUGUUCAACGAUUAAAGUCCUACGUGAUCUGAGUUCAGACCGGAGUAAUCCAGGUCAGUUUCUAUCUAUAACCUAACUUUUCUAGUACGAAAGGACCGAAAAAUUCAGGCCAAUAAAUAAUUUAAGCCUCGCCAAAACCUCUGAGCACAAAUAAAGAGGCGUCUAAGAACAGGUGU
rnacentral:rRNA from 1 species